AUGUCUUGGGCUACACACGUGCUACAAUGGUCUGAACAAAGCGCAGCUACCUCGUGAGAGCAAGCGAAUCGCAUAAAACAGAUCUCAGUUCGGAUUGCAGGCUGCAACUCGCCUGCAUGAAGUCGGAGUUGCUAGUAAUCGUGGAUCAGAACGCCACGGUGAAU
rnacentral:rRNA from 1 species